CUGACGCCAUGCAGAGGAGCCAGCAGGUGACAUCACUUGUCAUAUUAUCCACACAGCCUACAAGACCCGCAGCAUAACCUGAGCCUGCCAGGGGAAACACUGCAAUAUUUCCAUACUAAGAUUCACAGUAGAAAAUCCAGAAAUCCUGGCUUAUAAAACCAUAGCUCUCUCCUCUGAUCUCUCCUGUCUGAUAGCACAGAGGAGUGCUAUCAGACAGGAGAUGGCACUCCUCUGGGCUCUCUCCUGUCUGACGGCACUCCUCUGGGCUCUCUCCUGUCUGACGGCACUCCUCUGGGCUGUGACGUGGACCGUCAAUUACAAGGGGACCUGAAAUUCUGCCAAGUAAAUACAAAGAAUGGAAACACACUGGCAUUAGUAGUCGACAUAGAACACAGAACAGCUAGUCUGAAGGGGAUACCCCUAUUAUAAUAAACGUAAUGAAGUGAUAGAGA